UCUUUGUCAGUAUGCAGUACGAUAUUUUCCCCUCUUGCCAGGAGGCUCUUGUGUCCCCAGUCUAAAUAAAGCUUUGUUGAUGUAACGUGUCUGGGUCUUUUUAAGGAAGUCUGUGGGAGGCCCUGUAGCGUUAUUAUUGUCGGCUCAAAACAAGUCUCCUUUAAUCCUGCACCUUCACACUCCCAGUUGCUCCCCUUCAACCUGUUGUAAUUCAUUUUCCAAACAAGACUCGGUUGACUGGAGCGACUUGAACAACAGACGUUGUUUAAAAGAAGAAAGGAGAAAUAACACGCAGCGGUGUUUUGUUGCAGACGUUUCCCUCGGCGCUCGGGCCCCGUAAUUGGUUGCGAUGUUAAUCUUGGGCAGAUUAAAGCGAGGCGGCGAGCGCGGUCCUCCGGUGGCGAGGUGGAGGUGGAGAGAACACCUCCACUCUGUGUAUUAUUAUUAUUAUUAAAGCAAUUCUGAUUAGCUGUGAAGGAGAACAAAAGGCUGGAGUAUUAAUGCUAAUUGAGCUCUCUCUGUGCGCUGAGGAUCCACCGCUGGGGGUCUAAUUAAUGCUCCACUUGUUUAGAUUGACGUGCUGGAGAACUGCACGGGAAGUGAACUCCAGACUUCGUCUGAGUUGAGGACGAGUUGAGAUUUCGGUAGAAGGUUACUAUGUACCUGCGUCUGCUUAUAUUCCGCUUGACACCGAGGGACUAGCGAGCGAACCGAACAGGGGUGUGUGGGCGGAGCUAGAAAAGCAGCAGUGAUGUUUGUUGGUAAAUGAGAUCUUUUAGCCGUACUCAUGUUCGAUGCACGUGAAUCUUUGAGGGUUUUGGCUGGAUGUGCGUCGUGAUGAUGUCACAUGACUCACCUCAGCCCAAAUCUGUGGUGACUUUGAAAAAUUGCAAGCUCCUUCGAAUAUUGCAGCGUUUGCUUGGUUUUGCAUUGAUUUCUGAGAUUGCAGAAAUCCUGUAGGGACUGAUUUAACACCACUGUUAUUCAGAGUGAAACGCUGACCGUUCGACGAGGGCAGAAAAAAACAGUGGAUGUCUCCAACCGCCAAACGUAUCGAUCCAUCAGUCGGCACAAGCCCGGCCCAGCAGCUAAUCAGCUCGGACGUGACCGAUUACCCCGAGCUGAAGCGGGGGUCGUGUGUGGUGGUGUAGAGAAGCCUCGAUCGGCUCACGCUCAUCACCACGCAUUGUUCACGCUCGUAUUUUUACACCGGGGAUGGAAUUUAUUUUUUGAGCAAAGAAGAAAAAAAAAAUCCGAUGAGUUUUAGAAUGGCGGGAAAAAGUAAUUUGGCCUCGUACGGCAAUCAAUUAAGGUUUCUGUGCGGAUUUACUGCACUUAGAUUGGAUCUUGAGUGCCUGGAGAGGUAUUAUGCGCAAUGGCCUCUUGUAUAAACAGUGGUGGAAUGCUGUGUGUUUAUAUAUAAAAAUAAAUAAAGGAAGUAAAAGAAGAAACGCUGCUGAGGAUCCGAGUUUUCUCAGCCACUUACCGCUGAAUAUUAAAAUAUUCCGUUCCAGUUUCCCCUCGGAGCUGAUCUCAGUUCUGUAACGCACGAACACGCUUUAGUUAAAGUAAUUACAUCUUCGGAAUUGUGCUUAAUUGUGUGUGUGUGUGUGUGUGUGUGUGUGUGUGUGUGUGUAGGGUGCUAACAUUAAACCGGUGGUGUCGUUUAUCGCCGGGCUCACGGCGCCCCCCGGCAGGAGGAUGGGUCACGCCGGUGCCAUCAUCGCAGGAGGAAAGGGCGGGGCUAAAGAGAAGAUCGCCGCCCUGCAGUCCGCCGGCGUGGUGGUCAGCAUGUCCCCCGCCCAGCUGGGGAGUACCAUGCUGAAGGAAUUCGAGAAGAGGAAGAUGCUGUAACGUGGACGAGUCUUGUCGGUGCCACAGCAGUGUUUAUGUGGUUUUUUUUUUUGUUGUUGUUUUUUUUUCCUCCAGUCUUGAAUCUCCAUCUUCUGGAGAAUUUUCCAGAACCAGAUUGUUCUUUUAUCGCAGUGAGAUAUCCAACGGUAACGUGAAGUUAUAACCGUUAGCGUUAAGGUUAACGUCGCAGGUGAGCGAAGGGGCGGUGUGCGUUACCUCCAUCUCCAUCUCUACCUCCACCUCCACCUCGUCCAUCAUCAGUCUCAUUACUGCAGAAAUAUAUAAUAUAACUCAAUUUCCUGCACUUCCUCCUCAGUGUGACGGGUUUUGUUCUUUCACUUGUGCGGACGUGUCGAGGCACCACUAGUUUUCACGUGAAUCCGUCUCCGUUCCUGUUUCCUCACCACACGAGUCAGAAAACAGUUCGAUACAGUUGAGAAAAGCUUGAAGCUCGAAUUUAAAUCGCCGGAGAACACACCAGCUCUCGCUUUGAUCGCUCCGGGACGCUCUGCCGUACCGUCUGUAUAUUUAUCCAAUUCCACAGCCGUCUCUGAACGUAUUCGUCAGCUCACGAGGCCAUUCAGCAGCGUCACUCGCGCUCGCUCUCAAUUCCAACCAAUUUGGAGUGUGUUAUUGAAAAUGGCCGCCUCGUGCCCCGUGUGUUAGAGGCUUUUAGAACGCCUCUGCGCUCUCACGUACGUGUUUAUUAAUUCUGACACGCCGCACUGCCACAGAUUGUAUCUUUCCCUCUUAAUGACAUGCGUUCACCAUUCUUUUCUUUUUUUUCCCUUCUCUUUCUUUCUUUUUUCUUUUCUGUUCCUCCGCGGAGGAAUGAAUGCGCCGGUUCGAUCUUUGCCAGGCGCGUUUUCGAAAACCACUCAUCAAAAUGUCAACGGGAAAAAAAAAAAAUUCAGAACAUCUGAAAAUCAAAUUUGCCGAACUACGAUAACAAUCAGACGUCCACAAUAUUCACGGGGUGUUAUUGUCUCCUCUCUGCGCCGAAAGACACGGGCUUUGAUUUAUAGAGAACGGAUAAAUAAUGGCCUGUAAUAAUGAUGUGAUGUGGCAUUUUAAUACGAGUGUAAGAUUGGGGGGGGGGGGGGGGGUGUUGGUUUUCUGUCCUUUUGUCCAAGGAAGAAAGUGAUUAAAAGGCUGAUUGUGGUGGAAGCAGGAACCCCGACUCCACCAUGCUUUAAUUGUAGUGGAAGUGUGCAAAGAACCCUGUCAUUCCACGGUAUCCAAAAAUCUGAUUAAAGUGAUUUAAAAACAAAAAAAACCUAGCUAAUUGUGCUUGAUGGAGAAUCUCAAAUGAACGGAGUGUUUUCUGAAAAAAAAAAAGAUAAUAUGGAUGUUAAAAAAACAACGACAGCCAAAAAACAGGUAAGUCAUUGUGGUUGAUGUGGACGAGACCCACGGACAGGGACGAUUCAAAAACAUGGUCCAAAAGAAAAAAACAAAAACAUUCAGUCAUUUCAAUUAUUAUUGAACUAAAGAAGGUUAAACAAACAAACAAACAAACAAAAGAUCAGAUUCUGAUCAAACAUGGCGUUAAAACUGAAAUUGUAGCUCUAUAGGAGGAAUCUCCACAGCUGCAACUGUUGGAAUAAACCAUUAAAAUCAUUCAAACCUGCUGGUUGAAGAUCAUCAUCACCUACUAAAGUGAAAUCAGAGAUCAGGAGAGUUCUGAGGCUUUUUCUCCCAGGUAAGUUUUGUGCAGGGGCUCAGAGAUUACUGACUGUAUCGCUGUAACGUGUUCUUCAGCGUGUCCUUCAGGAGGAACCAAUUAACACCAAGCAGGAACCGUGAACUCUCCAAAGCGCCCUCGAGGAACCCGUACAUCACUGAUAUAAAUAAUACGUAAAAUAAUAAUAAUUUACUAAUUUCUUUGUGGUGCAAAUUUAUUUGUAACAUUUCUAGGAAUGAAUUGUACUGUAGAGCCGCUGAUCAUAAAGAGUGUUAAAGAAGAGGAGAAACCUUUUUAAGAAGGGGUGAAAUUUAAAAAUAGAUGUAGAAGAAUUCUUUUUCAGUCAUUACCCAGUGAAUCGCUCUGUACACUUUGCUUUCGGUGGUGAAAUGUAGUGUUGUUUAGGGAAAAUGCGGAAGUUGUGAUCAGACGUGAGAAUUCCGAUCUCUUUCACGUCUCCACCGUGUUGGAUCUCGGGUUUGUUCUAGAGCCGUGGUUCCUGCGGCCUCUCUUCAAAUGGAUCGUUUAUAUAAUUUAUAUGCAACACAAAUGACGUGUCAACUGUCCAUUUUAAAAAAAAACAAAGGACGUCUUUAGACACAACUGGUGAGUGCAACUUUUUAUCCAUAAUACAUUUAGUACUUUGGGUUUCUUCAUUACAUUCAACAAAUACUCUCGUCCAACGUUUCCGUUCAUAAUUUAUGAAUUGGUGUCUCAUGGAUAUUUGAUGUCUCCUCAGCUGUAACAUGAUUGGUUAAAGACUUUAAAGUGAAGUUGAUAAAUGUUUAGAGUUAGUGUGGAAUCUGACGUUAGCGUUGAUUAGCAUAUUGCAUUGAUAUGAGCUAGCUUUAAGCGUUUAAGGACGUUAUCUUUAGACGCACUUUAGCCGGAUGAGCUAGAUCAUACUAUACUGAUUCUCCUUCAGGAAGGUUGAACUCGACCCUUCAGCCUUUCUUCUGUUAAAGAAUUCAUCCAACAAACCUCACAUGCCCUGAUCGAGAAGUGUGUAAGGACAGGAACCGGGAUUUAACCAAUGGCUAAACCGUAAUGCCACCAAAAUGGCGUCUUCUUCACGACAAUACUGUUUAAAACCCCUUGUGUAAAGCUGUUUGGUACGGAGCGCGAGUGCGUUCUCGGUUCUCUUCCUCCUCACAUCUCGGCGUUAUCUGUGUUUUUCCUGCAGCCGGCACUGCCACUGACUUCCUAAUCAGCGUUUGAGGAAUUAGCAUAAUUAACUUUGCCAGUGGAAUGUGAGGCUUUAUUUGUUUUCCAGCUCAGAGGGCUCCACUGUACCGCGUCGGCUAGAGAUACCUUCCUGUCUCUUGUGGUUUUAAGCACCACAGCAACCAGAAGUUCAUAACGUCAAAAAGUCCUGGCACAGAUACAGCUACAAACUGGAUUAAUGUCAGCCAAAGCCUCGACACACAAAAGAGUCGGAACAAAGAGUCCCAAAUUAUUCUCCGGCUGUUUCCUGUAGGAAGAGUUUACAGAGUACAGUGUGGUGCAGAGUUUCAUAUUAAUAACGCCGGGUGAUGUUAGGGUAAAUCUAAUGUGUUUAACCUUUCCACCUCAAAAUAGCUGUGAGACAAGAUAAUACAGAAAUAAAUAAAAUUGCACGUAAAAUGAGAUUAAAUAGAUGACAGAAAAAAAAAAAGACUUGUAUGAAUGAAUUGCAGAAUUCCUGUAUUAUUAUGUCCAUGCUGACCCCCUGUGCACCACUGAAAUCUCCAACAAUGGGCACAUGAACAUCAGAACUGUCCAUGGAGCGAUGGAAGAAGGCGGCCUGGUCUGAUGAAUCACGUUUUCUUUCACAUCACGUGGACGACCGGGUGUGUGUGUGUUGCUUACCUGGGGAAGAUACGGCACCAGGAUGCACUAUGGGAAGAAGGCGAGCUGGCAGCAGCAAUGUGACGCUCUGGGCGAUGUUCUGCUGGGAAAUCUUGGGUCCUGGUAUUCAUGUGGAUGUUACUUUGACACGUCCCACCUGCCUAAACACUGCUCCAGACCGAGUUCCCUAAUGACAGUGACGUCUUUCAGCAGGAUAGCGCUCCCUGACACACAUGACAAAGGAACAUGUCUGAGGAACAUGACAAAGAGUUCACGGUGUUUACUCAGCCUCCGAAUUCCACAGAUCUCAAUCCGAUCUAGCGUCUGAGAUUUUCUGGACGAACAAGUCCGAUCCACGGAAGCCGCACCUCACAACUUACAGGAUUUAAAGGAUCUGCUGCAGACGUCUUGGUGCCAGAUCCCACAGCACACCUUCAGAGGUCUCGUGGAGUCCAGGCUUCGACGGGUCCGGGCUGUUCUGGUGGAACAAGGGGAGGAGGACGUACACAAUAUUACGACUGUUUUAAUGUUAGUCAAUUUUAAGUUAAUAAUGUAAUGUGACAUUUAUUUCUUAUUAAAGUUAAGUUUUAACUUUUGUUAGAUCUAGUCCUCUGUAUUUUAGGCCGUUGUAUAAAAAAGGAAACUCAUUUGAAGUGUUUGAAUAUCGCUUGUUUUCAUUUUUAAAUGUCUUUUAUUUUCAUUUUACAGAAGUGGCCUUUGAACAUGACUCACUCUGGUGUUAGUCCGCACCGCUGCUCUCACAUUACUGUUUAAUUCCAAGCUGUUUAAGACCUGGAACAUUUCCUGUGUCAUUCCUGAUGCUUAAAUUAACACUGGUUUCUCUACAGCUUUGAAGAAUAAGGGUCAUUAUACCUACAUUACUGAAAACUUUCUUUUCUCUUUCCUGCUACUUUGGUCCGAGUUUUUUUUUUGGAAGCAUUAAACCUAAGACAUUGGAGGAAUGUAACUACAGUAGAAAUUAGACUCAUUUGGGCCGUAAUUGCUGUUCUCCUUCCAGUUUUUAAUGGAGCACCACUGAAUGUGUAAAAUAGAUCGAGUUUAAAUUAGCACAGUGGUGAUAAAGGAUGAAACAUUGACCGUUCUGGCUACAGUACGCUUCCUCAUAAGUUAUUAAUAUUACCAUGUUUGAGGAAAAUGUUAGGAAUAAUUAUUGAUUCCUUUUACAAGCCUGAUUGCGUUGUAGUUGUCGGUGAG
ensembl:lncRNA